AGAACAUCUUUGGAAUUCAUCACUCUUCAAACCAGGAGGAACGUGAUCGCAAGUCCAAAACCUUAAAACCAUCAAGACUUUCAUCCGAGACUGCAUCCAGACAUUCGCCAAAGAC